rnacentral:tRNA from 2 species
UUUAGCUCAGCUGGUUUAGAGCAUCUGCCUUACAAGCAGAGGGUCGGCGGUUCGAAUCCGUCAACGCC